AACGUAGGUGGCAAGCGUUAUCCGGAUUUACUGGGCGUAAAGGGUGUGCAGGCGGGGUUGCAAGUGGUGUGUGAAAUCUCCCGGCUUAACCGGGAGGGGUUAUGCCAGACUGCAAUUCUAGAGGACGAGAGAGGGGGGUGGAAUUCCGGGUGUAGUGGUGAAAUGCGUAGAGAUCCGGAGGAACCCCAGAGGCGAAGGCGGCCCCCUGGCUCGUACCUGACGCUCAGCCACGAAAGCAUGGGGAGCGAACGGG
rnacentral:rRNA from 1 species